UACGUAGGGACCAAGCGUUGUUCGGAUUUACUGGGCGUAAAGGGCGCGUAGGCGGCAAUUCAAGUCAUCUGUGAAAUCUCCGGGCUUAACCCGGAACGGUCAGAUGAUACUGCUUUGCUAGAGUGCGGAAGGGGCAAUCGGAAUUCUCGGUGUAGCGGUGAAAUGCGUAGAUAUCGGGAAGAACACCCGUGGCGAAGGCGGCUCUCUGGGACGGUACUGACGCUGAGACGCGAAAGCGUGGGGAGCGAACAGG
rnacentral:rRNA from 1 species